rnacentral:lncRNA from 1 species
AAUAUAUCCCCAAAGAACACCCAAGGGAGAACCCAACAGAGCUCACAUUUGCCCGAUUCUGGUCACUAUGCAUCUCAGACUUGCAUGCGGAUGCUGGCAUUGACAUGGGCAGUGACAUCAACUUCUUUGUCACUAAGGAUCUAAAAAGGUACAACCCUUCUUGUGACCAAACUUUAUUUGGACCUAUCUGCAGGCUUCCCACCCAUAUUCUUAGUUUGCUUGGUCUUGAGACUGCUGAUGUCUCAGGUCACAUUGAGGCUACGGAGGGUAUUGCCCCAUACCCUUCUACCCCACCACUUCCAUCCGCAACCAUUAUCCCUAAGGUAACGCAGUCCCCUCUGCUACUACAUUAUCUAAGCUUUCUCAAAGGAGAAAAACGGUGGCAUCCAAGAAGAAACAUAGCACACCUAGGAAGGAUGCUCCAAAACAAACCGCACCCUCAAAGAAACGCAAAACCAAACCCACCACUGUAUCGAGUAGUGAUUCUGAGGAAGAUAGACAACCAAUAUCUAUCCUCAAGAAAAGAAAAACAACCGAAACCUCCAGCCAUAUGCGUGACCCGACAGAUACUAUAGCCUCUCAAAAGGCUCUGGUAGUCCUUCGGGUGGCCGCACAUCCAUUCAAUACCACAAUUAAGUACCACUCAAGCUCAUCAUGUGAGCUUGUUUCAUCAUCAUCAUCAUCUGAACGUGGAGACAGCCCCCUAGUUAUAUCUUAAGUAGAUAAAUCUGGACAUCGCCCUAAGGUCUCCAAGGCUUCACGAAUGCAUGCUUUUUCUUCCGAGGAGUUAGACUCCAACCUAUUGAAUAUAUCCCAAACACUUCAAACACCAAUCCAUCCGCAGGGCACUUCUUUUACUCAUGCCAGAAUGGAGUCGAGGCCAAACGCGACCACGGGUCACGAGGACCAAGGAAGCUCCAGAAAUUCUACUCUGCUUCCAUCCUUUACAGGUGGUUGAGGCACGGUGAGCACACAUGUGCAAGGAUCCGUGAACGCAAGGGACACCCUGGUGCGCACUCAAAGAAUUGACAGAGAUGACUCAAGUGAUUCUUGGAGUCGGUAUAAACCAAUUAUUGAUGCCGAAAUCAAGAAAUAUGUUGCCUUUCGAAGGGCCUUCCAAGCCCGCAAGGAGAAACAGAUCAAGCAGCAGCAACAAAAAGAACAUGAGAUCCAAUCCAUGGCUAGGUAUUGGGCAAAUGCCAUCAGCAAUUCCCAUACCGUAGCUACAAUCCAAAAGGUUCAAAACUGGAUGGAUCAAAUGGCAGAAACUAUGUUGAAAGCUCAAGCUUCAGGCGCAUCCCCAGUUACCUCCAAAGUUCCUCCUACUCCAACUCCUAUUCCAUCUCCCACAAUCAACCCAUCACAAGACAAAGGGCCUACAAUCGAACUCAGCUCAGCCCCUACCUUCGGUCUUGAUGAUGACGACAUCCAAGAUGUCAAUAAACCAAAUCCUUCAGACGACAACCUGAUGAUGUUUGAAGAAAAAGAGGAGUCCAAUGAUUCUCAGCAUUCAACUUCCAAGCCUAACGAAAAGAAGAAGAAGAAGAAGAAGAAGAAGAAGAAGAAGAAGAAGAAGAAGAAGAAGAAGACGAAGAAUAAGAAGAAGAAGAAGAAGAAAAAGACGAAGAAUAAGAAGAAGAAGAAGAAGAAGAAGAAGAAGGAUGUUGUCACCCGGAAGGAGUUCAUGAGUUAUCAAGCCAAAAUAGAUCAAAUUUUGGCUGCUGUUAAACCUACUCAACCUCAAUCAGAAGACGCUCGAGGACCGCAGUCAUUGAUUGAGAGAAUUGAACGACUGGCGACAAGGGAGUGUAUGGCUGCUGAGCGCAUCUCUCUUAAAGUAGAGAUGGGGAUCCGGUCCAUUGACAACAACCGCAGGGCUGACCAUAAGGACUUCAUGGCUGCUGCAGAACGCCUCAUUACUGAGGUGACCGCAAUCAAAAUGGAUCUUCAAGCAACAAUCACGGAUCAAACUGCACAAUCUCAGAAAGUGAUAGAUGAGACUCAUACUGCUAAUGAGUUGACUAUCUCUGUUCUUCAUGCAACUAUCAACCGAAUGUAGAAAUUCCUUACCUCCAAUUUCCAUAGCCCUAAGAUCCUCCAGCUUACCAAACACAUACACAAGCUGUUCUUCAACUCCUCCACUCCAAACAAUUCCCAAUUGGCAGAGGCUAUCAAAGCUCAGUUUCAAGAAGUCUGUGCCAGGGUGGAUGGACUUAAGAAAUGGCUUGAGGAAGCACCUCCGUUGCAUCCCUCAAGAGGGGGAAGUGAAGAUGAAGAAGUCCACCACUCUUAUACUUCCAUUCAUCAGAGUCCCGCCAUCAUCACAAAGAAAAUUCCCACACUGCAACCCUCACCACCACCACCUCAACAUACUUCAUCUCCGCACUCUUCACCUCUAAAAACCACUCCCAAAAAGCCUGAGACUCCUCCUCACCUCAAAAAUCUUGAGGAGAACAUGUCAUCCGCAUGCUCCACAGACUCCCCUGCCACCUCUCAGAGAAAGCAUGAUUGGAAGGCGGCCAAGCUUGCUGAACUUAUCUGUAGAGAAUGCAGGUUCGACACUAUGAUAGAUGAGUCCUUGAUUAACUCAUGGGUCAAUCCGCACCGUAGGCUAUUGGAUGAAGACUACACCCCCAGACCUCACAUAUGCUGAACCCGCUACUGAUAGAUACUGGGAUAUUCCAAUUUCUCCAAAUGCCAAGUACUUUGCUGUAUUUGAGUCAUUUGACUGCAGCCUCGCUGCUCACAAACGACUGCCAAUGGAGUUUGAAAGACUUAACUAUUUUUAUGCUAAGCAUGGCUCCUCCAUUGAGAACAUUUGGUCUAACUAUAGACCAUCUGCAGUCAAGAACUACAAGAUGCGGAAGUUCAUGAAGGCUGAUUUCUUUUAGUAUACCCUCACCAGAAGGGAGCAUGACUACAUCCGCACUAAGGCAGACUUCCCAAGCAUGAAUCUGGAAGAAAUCUUCCUUAUUGCUAGGGUGUUCCAGAACAAGGAAGAAAAGCACCAGAAAAUGCAAAUAGCUCUUGAAAAAGUCAAAUCUUUUCUGAGGGAUCCUGUCUGUGACGUUGCCAAGAUAGAUGCGGAUAUCUACCCCACUGUCAUCAAGAAGUUUUAUCUCCCACCACUUGAACAUGUGCCUAUACCUACCGAAGGCUUUGAAGAAAGAUCACUAGGCGCAACAAACUUUCCUGAACUUGGAAUCAUAUUCAAACGGAAGACUGACAACGUCAAAUACUUCAUUCCUAUGAAUGCCGUGCACCGCCUGCCCAAGAAACAACUUGACAUAUGCAAGACCGCAGUUGAAAAAUCGAAGCAUACUACUGCAGAAGUCAAAUUUGAAAUUUCGAGAAGAAUCACAUGGCUGGAAAAUGUCAGGAAAUUCUGGUGGAUUUUAAACAAGUUCCUGAAACUUGAUAGCUGAACCAGAGUUAAAGAGGUCACUUAGGGGAAAUUGUUGAAUCAUAAAAGUGACCCUCUUGAACUCAGCUACCGCAACCAUCUCUCUANGCACCCGCAGCCAAUUCAGCACCCGGAGUCAGUUCUUCUUCAGCAACCGCAAUCCGUCUUUUGCCACCGCAGUCUACUUAACUAGAUUACUUUACUUGUCUCUAUGUAAUACACUCUAUUAUCCAGUAUGCCUUGCACGACUGCUUAUAGAGUUGUAGUUUAGUUUAGAGACUCUAUAAAUAGAGACUCACUCUAUUGUAUUAAAUACUCUUAUCUCUCGAUCACUGAUGACUUGUGAAUUAUUCUGAAUAUCUUUCUAAGUUAUCUUCUUCAUUUCUCUAUCUUUCUACUCUUCGUAUUCUAAAUUGUUACUGAAACAUAUCUGGCUAUAACCUCUCUUUGGAGCAAGUCUUUAAGACUUAAUCACUAAGUUCGAUCUUCCUUAUUAACUCGGAGUGAAUGCAUUCCUUGUUACGAAUCAGCUUAAGUGUAAUCUUGAUAUAACAAUUGCUGUCAUUUAUAUUUCUUUACUUUCCGCAACUAACUAUCUAACUAUCUAACUAUAUUAUUGUUGAGCUUUUAGACCCUUGAGAUUAACUAUUCCGCAAUAUACUUAUUCUAACGUUUGUUCAAGUCUAUGCCAAGGUGGAUGGACUUAAGCAAUGGCAUGAGGAAGCACCUCCGUUGCAUCCCUCAAGAGGGGGAAGUGAAGAUGACGAACUCCACCACUCUGAUACUUCCAUUCAUCAGAGUCCCCGCAUCAUCACUAAGAAAAUUCCCACACCGCAACCCUCACCACCACCAUCUCUACAUACUCCAUCUCCCCACUCUUCGCCUCUAAAAAAACACUCCCAAAAAGCCUGAGACUCCUCCUCAACUAUGAACAGAUUAUUUGGGACGAUUUCCAUCAAUAUAUCCCAAAAGAACAUCCAAGGGAGAACCCAACAGAGCACACAUUUGCUCGAUUCUGGUCACUAUGCAUCUCAGACUUGCAUGCGGAUGCUGGCAUUGACAUGGGCAGUGACAUCAACUUCUUUGUCACUAAGGAUCUAAAAACGUACAACCCUUAUUCUGACCAAACUUUAUUUGGACCUAUCCGCAGGCUUCCUACCCAUAUUCUUAGUUUGCUUGGUCUUGAGACUGUUGAUGUCUCAGAUCACAUUGAGGCUACGAAGGGUAUUUCCCCAUACCCUUCUACCCCACCACUUCCAUUCGCAACCAUUAUCCCUGAGGGUACCGCAGUCCCCUCUGCUACUACAUUAUCUAAGCUUUCUCAAAGGAGAAAAACGGUGGCAUCAAAGAAGAAACAUAACACACCUAGGAAGGAUGCUCCAAAACAAACCGCACCCUCAAAGAAAUGCAAAACCAUACCCACCACUGUAUCGAGCAGUGAUUCUGAGGAAGAUAGACAACCAAUAUCUAUCCUCAAGAAAAGAAAAACAACCGAAACCUCCAGCCAUAUGCGUGACCCGACAGAUACUAUAGCCUCUCAAAAGGCUCUGGUAGUCCUUCGGGUGGCCGCACAUCCAUUCAAUACCAUAAUCGAAUACAACUCAAGAUCAUCAUGUGAGCUUGUUUCAUCAUCAUCAUCAUCUGAACGUGGAGACAGCCCCCUAGUUAUAUCUCAAGCAGAUAAAUCUGGACAUCGUCCUAAGGUCUCCAGGGCUUCCCAACUGCACGUUUUUUCUUUCGAGGAGUUAGACUCCAUCCUAUUGAAUAUAUCCCAAACACUUCAAACACCAAUCCAUCCGCAGGGCACUUCUUUCGCUCAUCCCAAAAUGGAGCCGAGGCCAAACGCGACCACGGGUCACGGAGAGCAAGGAAGCUCCAGCAAUCCUACUCUGCUUCCAUCCUUUAUAAGUGGUUGAGGCACGGUGAGCACACAUGUGCAAAGAUCCGUGAACCCAAGGGACACCUUGGUGCGCACUCAAAGAAUUGACAGAGAUGACUCAAGUGAUUCUUGGAGUCGGUAUAAACCAACUACUGAAGCCGAAAUCA